UCUACGGGAGGCAGCAGUGGGGAAUAUUGCGCAAUGGGCGAAAGCCUGACGCAGCGACGCCGCGUAAGGGAUGAAGGUCUUCGGAUCGUAAACCUCUGUCAGCAGGGAAGAACGGUCACUGUGUUAAUCAGCAGUGAAUUGACGGUACCUGCAAAGGAAGCACCGGCUAACUCCGUGCCAGCAGCCGCGGUAAUACGGAGGGUGCGAGCGUUAAUCGGAAUUACUGGGCGUAAAGCGCUCGUAGGCGUUAUGUCAAGUCAAGGGUGAAAUCCCCGCGCUCAACGUGGGAACUGCCUUUGAAACUGGCAAACUGGAGUGUGUGAGAGGAUAGUGGAAUUCCAGGUGUAGGAGUGAAAUCCGUAGAUAUCUGGAGGAACAUCAGUGGCGAAGGCGACUAUCUGGCACAUAACUGACGCUGAGGAGCGAAAGCGUGGGUAGCAAACAGGAUUAGAUACCCUAGUAGUC
rnacentral:rRNA from 1 species